AUUGAACGCUGGCGGCAUGCCUUACACAUGCAAGUCGAACGGCAGCACGGGAGCAAUCCUGGUGGCGAGUGGCGAACGGGUGAGUAAUAUAUCGGAACGUGCCCAGUCGUGGGGGAUAACGUAGCGAAAGCUACGCUAAUACCGCAUACGAUCUAUGGAUAAAAGCGGGGGGUCGCAAGACCUCGCGCGAUUGGAGCGGCCGAUAUCAGAUUAGGUAGUUGGUGAGGUAAAGGCUCACCAAGCCGACGAUCUGUAGCUGGUCUGAGAGGACGACCAGCCACACUGGAACUGAGACACGGUCCAGACUCCUACGGGAGGCAGCAGUGGGGAAUUUUGGACAAUGGGCGCAAGCCUGAUCCAGCAAUGCCGCGUGCAGGAUGAAGGCCUUCCGGUUGUAAACUGCUUUUGUACGGAACGAAACGGUGAGCUCUAAUACAGUUUGCUAAUGACGGUACCGUAAGAAUAAGCACCGGCUAACUACGUGCCAGCCGCCGCCGUAA
rnacentral:rRNA from 1 species